rnacentral:rRNA from 1 species
UGGCGGACGGGUGAGUAACGCGUAAAGAACUUGCCCUUUAGACUGGGAUAACAGAGGGAAACUUCUGAUAAUACUGGAUAAGUUAGUAUAUCGCAUGAUAUGCAAAUGAAAGCUACGGCACUAAAGGAGAGCUUUGCGUCCUAUUAGCUAGUUGGUAAGGUAAGAGCUUACCAAGGCUAUGAUAGGUAGCCGGCCUGAGAGGGUGGACGGCCACAAGGGGACUGAGAUACGGCCCUUACUCCUACGGGAGGCAGCAGCU